rnacentral:rRNA from 1 species
AUCCAGACCCUACGGGAGGCAGCAGUGGGGAAUAUUGCACAAUGGGGGGAACCCUGAUCCAGCGACGCCGCGUGAGUGAAGAAGUAUUUCGGUAUGUAAAGCUCUAUCAGCAGGGAAGAAAAUGACGGUACCUGACUAAGAAGCCCCGGCUAACUACGUGCCAGCAGCCGCGGUAAUACGUAGGGGGCAAGCGUUAUCCGGAUUUACUGGGUGUAAAGGGAGCGUAGACGGCUGUGCAAGCCAGAUGUGAAAGCCCGGGGCUCAACCCCGGGACUGCAUUUGGAACUGUGCGGCUGGAGUGCGGGAGGGGCAGGCGGAAUUCCUGGUGUAGCGGUGAAAUGCGUAGAUAUCAGGAGGAACACCGGCGGCGAAGGCGGCCUGCUGGACCGCGACUGACGUUGAGGCUCGAAAGCGUGGGGAGCGAACAGGAUUAGAUACCCGAGUA